rfam:Cryomorphaceae bacterium BACL7 MAG-120910-bin24 contig00271_1_120910-bin24, whole genome shotgun sequence.
CCCCUUGCGUCAUGAUCUCUGUGGGUCUAUGUUGAAUUUGUCGUGGGCAACCUCGACUAUGGCGAUAAACGCACCCGUAAUAAUCGGAUCGGACCCGGGGGCGGUACCCGGCGACUCCACCAACACCCUCCAUUUGGAGGCUAUGGGGUCGAAAUAGGAUCGACGAACGACUAAAGGGGCCAGCUUUUGCUCGGUAGGUACCACCGUUAUCGGACCAUCUGUACAGUUGCAAAUGACAACCGUGCUCCGGCAAUGGCUUUGGCUGCGUAAGCAGUUCGAGUCGCCGAAACUAAGUCCUUGCGCCUAGCCGCGUAAGGCGGGGCCCGCCGGAGCCUGGCAACAGAAUCCGGCACU